GACGAACGCUGGCGGCGUGCUUAACACAUGCAAGUCGAACGGAAAGGCCCUGCUUUUGUGGGGUGCUCGAGUGGCGAACGGGUGAGUAACACGUGAGUAACCUGCCCUUGACUUUGGGAUAACUUCAGGAAACUGGGGCUAAUACCGGAUAGGAGCUCCUGCCGCAUGGUGGGGGUUGGAAAGUUUCGGCGGUUGGGGAUGGACUCGCGGCUCAUCAGCUUGUUGGUGGGGUAGUGGCUUACCAAGGCUUUGACGGGUAGCCGGCCUGAGAGGGUGACCGGCCACAUUGGGACUGAGAUACGACCCAGACUCCUACGGGAGGCAGCAGUGGGGAAUAUUGCACAAUGGGCGGAAGCCUGAUGCAGCAACGCCGCGUGCGGGAUGACGGCCUUCGGGUUGUAAACCGCUUUCGCCUGUGACGAAGCGUGAGUGACGGUAAUGGGUAAAGAAGCACCGGCUAACUACGUG
rnacentral:rRNA from 1 species